rnacentral:rRNA from 1 species
AUUGAACGCUGGCGGCAUGCUUUACACAUGCAAGUCGAACGGCAGCGCGGGCUUCGGCCUGGCGGCGAGUGGCGAACGGGUGAGUAAUGCAUCGGAACGUGCCCAGUAGUGGGGGAUAGCCCGGCGAAAGCCGGAUUAAUACCGCAUACGACCUGAGGGUGAAAGCGGGGGACCGAAAGGCCUCGCGCUAUUGGAGCGGCCGAUGUCGGGUUAGCUAGUUGGUGGGGUAAAGGCUUACCAAGGCGACGAUCCGUAGCUGGUCUGAGAGGACGACCAGCCACACUGGGAUUGAGACACGGCCCAGACUCCUACGGGAGGCAGCAGUGGGGAAUUUUGGACAAUGGGGGCAACCCUGAUCCAGCCAUGCCGCGUGCGGGAAGAAGGCCUUCGGGUUGUAAACCGCUUUUGUUCGGGAAGAAAUCCUCUGGGCUAAUACCCCGGGGGGAUGACGGUACCGGAAGAAUAAGCACCGGCUAACUACGUG